UGGAANGAUGGGAAUUUAAACCUCUUCCAGAGUAUCAAUUGGAGGGCAAGUCUGGUGCCAGCAGCCGCGGUAAUUCCAGCUCCAAUAGCGUAUAUUAAAAUUGUUGCAGUUAAAAAGCUCGUAGUUGAAUUUCUGCUGCAUUGCUUGUGUCCCUCUGGGGUCUGUGCAUGUGGCUUUUUUCGGACGGAGUUUCUUUGUCUGAAUGUUUACUUUGAGAAAAUUAGAGUGCUCAAAGCAGGCUUUCGCCUUGAAUAGUUUAGCAUGGAAUAAUAAAGUAGGACUUUGGUUCUAUUUUGUUGGUUUUAGGUACCAAAGUAAUGGUUAAUAGGAACAGUUGGGGGCAUUCGUAUUUAACUGUCAGAGGUGAAAUUCUUAGA
rnacentral:rRNA from 1 species